CCUACGGGUGGCUGCAGUGAGGAAUAUUGGUCAAUGGUCGGGAGCCUGAACCAGCCAAGUCGCGUGAGGGAGGACUGCCCUGCGUAUUGUAAACCUCUUUUGUCAGGGAACAAAGACUGGGACGUGUCCCCGGUUGUAUGUACUUUAAGAAUAAGGAUCGGCUAACUCCGUGCCAGCAGCCGCGGUAAUACGGAGGAUCCGAGCGUUAUCCGGAUUUAUUGGGGUUAAAGGGUGCGCAGGUGGGUUUGUAAGUCAGUUGUGAAAGUUUGGGGCUCAAACCUAGAACUGCAUUUGAAACUGGCAGUCUCGAGUAGAGGAGAGGUAGGCGGAAUGCGUGGUGUAGCGGUGAAAUGCAUAGAUAUCACGAAGAACUCCGAUUGCGAAGGCAGCAUACCAACUCCACACUGACACUGAUGCACGAAAGUGUGGGUAUCGAACAGGAUUAGAUACCCUGGUAGUC
rnacentral:rRNA from 1 species